UGGGGAAUAUUGCACAAUGGAGGAAACUCUGAUGCAGCGACGCCGCGUGAGCGAUGAAGUAUUUCGGUAUGUAAAGCUCUAUCAGCAGGGAAGAUAAUGACGGUACCUGAGUAAGAAGCUCCGGCUAAAUACGUGCCAGCAGCCGCGGUAAUACGUAUGGAGCAAGCGUUAUCCGGAUUUACUGGGUGUAAAGGGAGUGUAGGCGGAACGGCAAGUUUGAAGUGAAAUACCCGGGCUUAACCGGGAACUGCUUUGAAAACUGUCGAUCUAGAGUGUCGGAGAGGUAAGUGGAAUUCCUGGUGUAGUAGUGAAAUGCGUAGAUAUCAGGAAGAACACCGGAGGCGAAGGCGGCUUACUGGACGAUAACUGACGUUGAGGCUCG
rnacentral:rRNA from 1 species